rnacentral:rRNA from 1 species
GAUGAACGCUGGCGGCGUGCCUAAUACAUGCAAGUCGAGCGAACCACUUCGGUGGUGAGCGGCGAACGGGUGAGUAACACGUAGGUGAUCUGCCCAUCAGACGGGGACAGCGAUUGGAAACGAUCGCUAAUACCGGAGAGGACGAAAGUUUAAAGGUGCUUCUGGCACCGCUGAUGGAUGAGCCUGCGGCGCAUUAGCGAGUUGGUAGGGUAAAGGCCUACCAAGGCGACGAUGCGUAGCCGACCUGAGAGGGUGAACGGCCACACUGGGACUGAGACACGGCCCAGACUCCUACGGGAGGCAGCAGUAGGGAAUCUUCGGCAAUGGGCGAAAGCCUGACCGAGCAACGCCGCGUGAAUGAUGAAGGCCUUCGGGUUGUAAAAUUCUGUUAUAAGGGAAGAACGACUUUAGUAGGAAAUGGCUAGAGUGUGACGGUACCUUAUGAGAAAGCCACGGCUAACUACGUGCCAGCCGCCGCGGUAA